rnacentral:rRNA from 1 species
UACGUAGGGUGCGAGCGUUAAUCGGAAUUACUGGGCGUAAAGCGCGCGCAGGCGGUCUUCCAAGUCAGUGGUGAAAGCCCGGAGCUCAACUCCGGAACUGCCAUUGAAACUGUUGGACUUGGGGAUGAGAGAGGUGAGUGGAAUUCCCAGUGUAGAGGUGAAAUUCGUAGAUAUUGGGAAGAACACCGGUGGCGAAGGCGGCUCACUGGCUCAUUACUGACGCUCAGGCGCGACAGCAUGGGGAUCAAACAGG